rnacentral:rRNA from 1 species
GACGAACGCUGGCGGCGUGCUUAACACAUGCAAGUCGAACGGAAAGGCCCUGCUUUUGUGGGGUGCUCGAGUGGCGAACGGGUGAGUAACACGUGAGUAACCUGCCCUUGACUUUGGGAUAACUUCAGGAAACUGGGGCUAAUACCGGAUAUGAGCUCCUGCUGCAUGGUGGGGGUUGGAAAGUUUCGGCGGUUGGGGAUGGACUCGCGGCUUAUCAGCUUGUUGGUGGGGUAGUGGCUUACCAAGGCUUUGACGGGUAGCCGGCCUGAGAGGGUGACCGGCCACAUUGGGACUGAGAUACGGCACAGACUCGAACGGGAGGCAGCAGUGGGGAAUAUUGCACAAUGGGCGGAAGCCUGAUGCAGCAACGCCGGGUGCGGGAUGACGGCCUUCGGGUUGUAAACCGCUUUAGACUGUGACGAAGAGUGAGUGACGGUAAUGGGUAAAGAAGCACCGGCUAACUACGUG